UACGUAGGGGGCAAGCGUUGUCCGGAAUCAUUGGGCGUAAAGCGCGUGUAGGCGGUUCAGUAAGUCUGCUGUGAAAGCCCCGGGCUUAACCUGGGAAUUGCGCUUAAUACUGUUUGGCUAGAGUACUGUAGAGGGAAGUGGAAUUUCCGGUGUAGCGGUGAAAUGCGUAGAUAUCGGAAGGAACAUCAGUGGCGAAGGCGACUUCCUGGACAGAUACUGACACUGAGGCACGAAAGCAUGGGGGAGCAAACAGG
rnacentral:rRNA from 1 species